rnacentral:rRNA from 1 species
UGGGGAAUUUUGCACAAUGGGGGAAACCCUGAUGCAGCGACGCCGCGUGAUUUAGAAGGCCUUCGGGUUGUAAAAAUCUUUUCUAUGGGAAGAAAAUGACAGUACCAUAGGAAUAAGGACCGGCUAAUUACGUGCCAGCAGCCGCGGUAAUACGUAAGGUCCGAGCGUUGUCCGGAAUCAUUGGGCGUAAAGGGUACGUAGGCGGGUAAGCAAGUUAGAAGUGAAAUCCUAUAACUCAACUAUAGUAAGCUUUUAAAACUGCUCAUCUUGAGGUAUGGAAGGGAAAGUGGAAUUCCUAGUGUAGCGGUGAAAUGCGCAGAUAUUAGGAGGAAUACCGGUGGCGAAGGCGACUUUCUGGCCAUAACCUGACGCUGAGGUACGAAAGCGUGGGUAGCAAACAGG